rnacentral:rRNA from 1 species
GACGAACGCUGGCGGCAUGCCUAAUACAUGCAAGUCGAGCGAACAGAUGAAGUGCUUGCACUUCUGACGUUAGCGGCGAACGGGUGAGUAACACGUAAGGAAUCUACCUAUAAGCGGGGGAUAACAUUCGGAAACGGGUGCUAAUACCGCAUAAUAUCUUCCUCCGCAUGGAAGAAGAUUGAAAGACGGCUCUGCUGUCACUUAUAGAUGACCUUGCGGUGCAUUAGUUAGUUGGUGGGGUAAUGGCCUACCAAGACGAUGAUGCAUAGCCGACCUGAGAGGGUGAUCGGCCACAUUGGGACUGAGACACGGCCCAAACUCCUACGGGAGGCAGCAGUAGGGAAUCUUCCGCAAUGGGCGAAAGCCUGACGGAGCAAUGCCGCGUGAGUGAAGAAGGCCUUCGGGUCGUAAAACUCUGUUAUAAGAGAAGAACAAAUUGUAGAGUGACUGCUACAGUCUCGACGGUAUCUUAUCAGAAAGCCACGGCUAACUACGUGCCAGCAGCCGCCGUAA